rnacentral:misc_RNA from 1 species
GAUGAAGAACGUAGCGAAACGCGAUAUGUAAUGUGAAUUGCAGAAUUCAGUGAAUCAUCGAAUCUUUGAACGCACAUUGCGCCCCUUGGUAUUCCGAGGGGCAUGCCUGUCCGAGCGUCAUGUCAGCCAUCAAGCGUCGCUUGGUCUUGGGCCCCGCCAUUCCGGGCGUGCCUGAAAAACAGUGGCGGUCCCCUCGUGGGUUCAAGCGUGGUAAAUCCAUUACGCUUUGGAGCCUGCGGGAGGUGGCCUGUCAGCAUAUCUCAAAUCACUUGGGUUGACCUCGGAUCAGGUAGGGAUACCCGCUGAACUUAAGCAUAUCAAUAAGCGGAGGA